AACAGGCCUCAAACCAAAGUUGAUCUCUAGAAGAACCUAACAACCAUGUGUUAUAUAAUAUAUUAGUAUCUGAUAAUUAACGAAAUAUGUGUGAUCAUUAGUGAAAUAUAUACAUUGGAUAGAAUGUCUCAUUUGCAAGAGAUAUAGCUUAGAAAAAACGUUAUGAGAUGUAUAAACAUUUCCUUGUUUAGAAAUAUAGUAUCAAGGCCUAGUACUCAAACUCCAUGGCACCCUGGCCAGGCUUGAGGUGGCAUCCAAAAAGGAGAAGGAAACCAGCUGUUUCCCACCUUGAAGUUAUGUAAACUUUUUUAUUCAACAAUAUAAAUGCUGGACCCUCUUGCAGCAAAGUUGGAGACCUCACCUACAAGUGAACACACUGUGUAGCACUUCCCACAUACUGGGAAAGGUUCUCCAAGUCCUCGCUGCACCCAGGGCUCCCCAGAGACUGGAUGCUGCAAAUGACAUGAAAAAUUAUUUGCUCAGUGAAAGCAAUCACUGACAGCUUACUGAGUACAGAUAGGAGACAUUUUGUUGGCCAGAUGAAUGGACCACAUCCUAGUUUUGAAUAAAAAAACCCAACCAGAAAAAAGCAACAGGAAUACUUCUCAUUGCCAAAAAGCAACGUUAAAGGAAGAAAGCCAAAGGAAGCGGCUGCAAAGAAGUGUGGCUGUUGUGAACUUCUCAACUCCAGCUGCUAGAACUGACUAGUGGGUGUAACAUUACACUGGCUUAGCUGCACCUUCCUGAUGUUGGUAAAUACAAUUCCAUUCCCUGGCAAGAAAGAAAAGAAAGUCUUUGUGUUUAAGCUCAUGCUCGAAAACUGUUUUCUGAAGCUGCAGGCCACCAACUUCAUGGACCAAACUUGAACACAGGUCACAGAGAGCUGAAUCUGAGUCCCUGAACUGAGUCCCCUGUCUGGGCCAUUCUCUGAGUGUGUUGCCUUUUGACUCUUCUUGCUUCUGCCAAAACUGUGCCGUCUCCUUUUUCUUUCACGCAGUUCUGUUUGUCUUUUAUGCUUGGCUACAGAGUAAUAUGGCAUGAUUUAAUUCCUGCAUAUGAAAUCCAAUUGCUAAGUUGAUGUAACAAGCUAUUUCGAAUGGUUCAUACCUUUUCUUGCCACUCUCACAUCAGUGAAAAUAAAAAUAAUUAAGGAAUUAAUUCUCCAGGCUCACAGUAGCUGUGACUGAAGGAAGUAUAAAGGAAAUGCUGAAGAGAAGAAUGGAAAAUCCAUUCUGCAUAUUGUGGUAUGGUGGGCUUUGUCUGAAUUUAGAUUACACAUUUCCAUUCUAAACAUUUUAUUUACCACAGGGGUAUUUACCAGGUAUCUUGCUGGUAAAGUGAUUAGUUGCUGAGUGGCAGAGCCAGCUUGUGUUAAUACAGAAACCAGCUGUGAUCUGUAAGAACAGCAUUGUGGUAAUAAACAAUAAGCCUAGGUCCUUCCAGUGUAUUUUCUGAAUCACUCUGUUCACAAACAGGCAGGUGCUCCGAAUGUAAUACGUCCAGUACUGGCUUCAUGAAAGUUAUCCUACAAUUUAGCUCCUUACAACAUGCUGAGGAGAAACAAUAAAUGAAACUACAUGAGUCAGUAUUCAGUGGGCAGCCAAGAACUAAAUAUUUCAGCACUGGUCAUUGAGUCUUGGCAACCAAAUACUUCACAAUGCCAGUGUGGUCAACAUGCUGGGAAGACAAAGCAAGAGCACAGCAUAUGGCAUGUUUUGCAUGUGUUUCAUUUGUUUUGAUGCAGAGAUCUAAAAUUGGUUGAUGAUAUUCCUUCCGUUGCACUUCUGUAGUUAUUAAAAACUGCUUUAAAAACAACUUUUUACCACCAGUUUGUAUAACUUUUGAGUGUAUGAAUGUAUGGAAGAUGUUAUCACUUGGAAUGUAAGUUUAUACAUAAAAAUAACUCCAAAAUAAAUGAGUACGUGAAGGAAACUAGAAUAAUUCUGAAGUUAGAAAACUGACCAACAAUUAUUAAAUUAUUCCAUGGUUAAUCACAGGAGAUUGUACUAACAACAAAAACUAAACCUUUUUUAUGAACAUACAUUUCAUUUGACUUUUCAAAGAAGCUGCUUAAUAAAUCCUCACUUGAGAUUGUAUUUGUCACUUAGCACAGGCCAGCAGCGUCCUGUGUUAGCAACCAGCUUUAAGAGAUGCUUUGUGUCUGCUGUUAGGGGAAGAGAGUCCUCUCGUUGAGGAUGUCAGAAGUUGCCUUGCACCCUGAACAUCCUCAGUACUUUCAAACUAAUGUAACUGGAGGUAUUUGAUUAAAGUAGUAAGUAUUGUAAAUAUAUUUCGUUUUAAAAUAUUAAUAUAAAUUUUAAAUAAAUAG
ensembl:lncRNA